UGGGGAAUAUUGCACAAUGGGCGAAAGCCUGAUGCAGCGACGCCGCGUGAGGGAUGACGGCCUUCGGGUUGUAAACCUCUUUCAGCAGGGAAGAAGCGAAAGUGACGGUACCUGCAGAAGAAGCGCCGGCUAACUACGUGCCAGCAGCCGCGGUAAUACGUAGGGCGCAAGCGUUGUCCGGAAUUAUUGGGCGUAAAGAGCUCGUAGGCGGUUAGUCGCGUCUGCUGUGAAAACUCGAGGCUCAACCUCGGGCUUGCAGUGGGUACGGGCUGACUAGAGUGCGGUAGGGGUGACUGGAAUUCCUGGUGUAGCGGUGGAAUGCGCAGAUAUCAGGAGGAACACCGAUGGCGAAGGCAGGUCACUGGGCCGCAACUGACGCUGAGGAGCGAAAGCAUGGGGAGCGAACAGGAUUAGAUACCCUGGUAGUCCAUGCCGUAAACGUUGGGCACUAGGUGUGGGGUCCAUUCCACGGAUUCCGUGCCGCAGCAAACGCAUUAAGUGCCCCGCCUGGGGAGUACAGCCGCAAGGCUAAAACUCAAAUGAAUUGACGGGGUCAUAGCUGUUUCCU
rnacentral:rRNA from 1 species